ACGGAAGCAGCAGUGGGGAAUAUUGGGCAAUGGGGGAAACCCUGAUCCAGCGACGCCGCGUGAGUGAAGAAGUAUUUCGGUAUGUAAAGCUCUAUCAGCAAGGAAGAAAAUGACGGUACUUGACUAAGAAGCUCCGGCUAAAUACGUGCCAGCAGCCGCGGUAAUACGUAUGGAGCAAGCGUUAUCCGGAUUUACUGGGUGUAAAGGGAGCGUAGACGGCAAAGCAAGUCCGAAGUGAAAUCCCGGGGCUCAACCCCGGAACUGCUUUGGAAACUGUUUAGCUAGAGUGCAGGAGAGGUAAGCGGAAUUCCUAGUGUAGCGGUGAAAUGCGUAGAUAUUAGGAGGAACACCAGUGGCGAAGGCGGCUUACUGGACUGUAACUGACGCUCAUGCUCGAAGGUGCGGGUAUCAAACAGGAUUAGAUACCCUGGUA
rnacentral:rRNA from 1 species